CCUACGGGUGGCAGCAGUGAGGAAUAUUGGUCAAUGGACGAGAGUCUGAACCAGUCAAGUAGCGUGAAGGAUGACUGCCCUAUGGGUUGUAAACUUCUUUUAUAUGGGAAUAAAACGUUCCACGUGUGGGAUUUUGUAUGUACCAUAUGAAUAAGGAUCGGCUAACUCCGUGCCAGCAGCCGCGGUAAUACGGAGGAUCCGAGCGUUAUCAGGAUUUAUUGGGUUUAAAGGGAGCGUAGGUGGAUUGUUAAGUCAGUUGUGAAAGUUUGCGGCUAAACCGUAAAAUUGCAGUUGAAACUGGCAGUCUUGAGUACAGUAGAGGUGGGCGGAAUUCGUGGUGUAGCGGUGAAAUGCUUAGAUAUCACGAAGAACUCCGAUUGCGAAGGCAGUUCACUGGACUGCAACUGACACUGAGGCUCGAAAGUGUGGGUAUCAAACAGGAUUAGAUACCCCAGUAGUC
rnacentral:rRNA from 1 species